UGGGGAAUCUUGCGCAAUGGCCGAAAGGCUGACGCAGCGACGCCGCGUGGGGGAGGAAGGGCUUCGGCUCGUAAACCCCUGUUGCCCGGGGCGAACAGCAGGUUUCGACCUGCCUGACGGUACCGGGUGAGGAAGCACCGGCUAACUCCGUGCCAGCAGCCGCGGUAAUACGGAGGGUGCGAGCGUUGUCCGGAAUCACUGGGCGUAAAGGGCGCGUAGGUGGCCGAGCAAGGUCGCGGUGAAAGCCCGGGGCUCAACCCCGGGUCGGCCGUGGCAACUACUGGGCUGGAGCACUGUAGGGGCGGGUGGAAUUCCGGGUGUAGCGGUGGAAUGCGUAGAGAUCCGGAAGAACACCGGUGGCGAAGGCGGCCCGCUGGGCAGUUGCUGACACUGAGGCGCGACAGCGUGGGGAGCAAACAG
rnacentral:rRNA from 1 species